rfam:Gorilla gorilla gorilla genomic chromosome, chr1, whole genome shotgun sequence
GCUGGGUGCGGUGGCUCACGCCUGUAAUCUCAGCACUUUGGGAGGCCAAGGAGGGCAGAUCAUGAGGUCAGGAAAUUAAGACCAUCCUGGCUAACAUGGUGAAACCCUGUCUCUACUAAAAAUNNNNNNNNNNUAAUUUUUUGUAUUUUUAGUAGAGACAGGGUUUCACCAUGUUAGCCAGGAUGGUCUUAAUUUCCUGACCUCAUGAUCUGCCCUCCUUGG